rnacentral:rRNA from 1 species
AGUAAUCGCGCAUCAGCCACGGCGCGGUGAAUACGUUCCCGGGCCUUGUACACACCGCCCGUCAAGCCAUGGAAGCCGGGAGUGCCUGAAGUGCGUGACCGCAAGGAGCGUCCUAAGGCAAUACCGGUGACUGGGGCUAAGUCGUAACAAGGUAUC